GAUGAACGCUGGCGGCGUGCCUAAUACAUGCAAGUCGAGCGAAUGGAUUAAGAGCUUGCUCUUAUGAAGUUAGCGGCGGACGGGUGAGUAACACGUGAGUAACCUGCCCAUAAGACUGGGAUAACUCCGGGAAACCGGGGCUAAUACCGGAUAACAUUUUGAACCGCAUGGUUCGAAAUUGAAAGGCGGCUUCGGCUGUCACUUAUGGAUGGACCCGCGUCGCAUUAGCUAGUUGGUGAGGAAACGGCUCACCAAGGCAACGAUGCGUAGCCGACCUGAGAGGGUGAUCGGCCACACUGGGACUGAGACACGGCCCAGACUCCUACGGGAGGCAGCAGUAGGGAAUCUUCCGCAAUGGACGAAAGUCUGACGGAGCAACGCCGCGUGAGUGAUGAAGGCUUUCGGGUCGUAAAACUCUGUUGUUAGGGAAGAACAAGUGCUAGUUGAAUAAGCUGGCACCUUGACGGUACCCAACCAGAAAGCCACGGCUAACUACGUGCCAGCAGCCGCAGUAA
rnacentral:rRNA from 1 species